rnacentral:misc_RNA from 1 species
UCUAAAUUAGCAUAACUCUGAGGACAGCAGUUAUAGGGGAAUAGAUCCAUAUAUCUUGUUUCGUUAAUAAGAAUCUGAACACCCUCCAAAUACAAAACAAGAGAAGUUUCACUCGAGCCACUCUUAAAAUGCAUAGGACUCGUCGAAACCCAUACAUGACAAAUCAAAGAAAAGCCUAAAACACUUCCAACCGAGAGGCCGGCAUGAAGAAUGAAUGUUUGUACCAAAUGAAAGUACUGCAAAGAAGAUACCUUCCUACCAUGUCAGUCAAUUCAUGUAUUUAUUUUUCCACUACUGAAGAAUAUCUUAUGUAUCUUUCAUUUGUUAUGUUGUUUCAGCCCCUACCACUUUCCUCAAAUUGUACCAAAAGGUGUCUGAAGAAUGUCUAGAGAGAUGCAUUAGCUUCAAGCAAACAAGUCAAAGGGGUCGUGCUCUGUUGGCCUCCUUUAGCAUAUCAUUUCAAUAACAGAAGGUAAAAUAGAAAACUUCCUGGGAAGGAAACCCAAAUGUUCCCCAUCAGACUGAACAUAAACGCUUCCGCUGACAGAGAUGUCCUCCACUUCGAUUGAAUGCACACUGCAAGAAAACAAAGAAACUAUCAAUAGUAUGCACAGCUAUUAAAUGCCACCUACAAGCUACAACUUUGAACACCAUAUAUAUGUGAAAAUCUUAAUACUCCACAUGCUUCUGAAAAAAUACAUCAAUUCAUUGGUUGUGUUAUUGGAACAGAUUAUGAUUCCUAUCAUUUGAAAGCCUCCAUAAAAAAGAAGAGAGAACAAUGUGGAAUAAAUAAGGUACAAUUGAAUCCAGAAGGACAUAUCCUACCUUCUUGAAGAUACAUUUUUCACUGUUAAAUGCGUCCCCUUGUAUAGUUUAUGUAGUUUCAGAAUAAAGUCAUACCACUUGAAGUCCUGAAGAAUUACAACCUCAAACUCUCCACUGCGAGGGUCACCAUUUGGAGUGAUUCUCAUGCCUCCACCAAAGCAUUUUGCAUUUCCGAUGCAAAGAGCUGUUACUUGAGAACAUAUUUCCCAUGCACCUCCAUUGACCUAUAUGCAGAACAUCCUAUGGGUUUAUAUUCAGGUUAUUAACAAUGGCACAAAAAAAAGAAUAUCACGAGGAAGAGGAACAGAGAACUGCACGGUUGUACAGAUAUGAAAAGCACAUAACAAUAGUAAGUCAAUAACAUAAUUGUGAAAACUUUAAAAAUAAAGUGACCUUUACUCUAAGGUCACAAUUUCUAUGCCCCAUAAAUGCUUGUAGAGCACCAAUGACAUAGCAGAGGUUUCCAAAUCUCUUGUAUCUUGAUGAAUAGUAACCGGCCUUUGCACUCAAAUGAAUAUCAGCCACGUUUAUGAAGUAAUGAGAUUCUUCACUUUCUCCACUAAUGACACCGACAUCAACCCAUGAUCUCAGCCCUGCAGAACAGCUCCAUCAGAAAUUUAUUAAUGACAAAGAAAAUGCAAACAAGCUAACAACUAGUUUAUAGCAUUAAAUAUGAGUAGAACCUAUUCCAGGUCCAGAUUGAAUCAAUUUUUAGCAUUUUAGUUAUUUAAAAUAAAACAUAAGUACCUUUAACAAUGCGAUCAACAGCUUCAUAAGGAUCAUUUUUCCAGCCCCAUGUUCUGGCAAAAUCAGACCCAGUUCCUAAGGGGAUGAGCUGCAAAACAAAAUCAUAUCUACACAUGAGAAAUCUACAACAUGUAAAUCAUGUAUCAUACAAACAUGCAAGUUCUAAUUUUGUGGUUGGGAUCAAAUCAAAAGGAGUAACCCAAGACAAUUUGGCAAUCACAAUAACAUACACCUAGAGCAGUUGAGUGGGCAUCUUCUCUAUCAUGAUUGAUAACAGGUUUCCCAGCCCAAAAGAAUCCAUUAACAACCUCAUGAAGAGUGCCAUCUCCUCCAACUGCAAUCACAGCAUCAGCACCCUCUCUUAUUGCCUCUCUUGUUAUGUCAAUUGCAUGAUAAGGACCUGAAGUCAAAGAUUCACAUAU